rnacentral:rRNA from 1 species
UACGUAGGGUGCGAGCGUUGUCCGGAAUUAUUGGGCGUAAAGGGCUCGUAGGCGGUUUGUCGCGUCGGGAGUGAAAACUCAGGGCUUAACCCUGAGCCUGCUCCCGAUACGGGCAGACUAGAGGUAUGCAGGGGAGAACGGAAUUCCUGGUGUAGCGGUGAAAUGCGCAGAUAUCAGGAGGAACACCGGUGGCGAAGGCGGUUCUCUGGGCCGAUACUGACGCUGAGGAGCGAAAGCGUGGGGAGCAAACAGG